rnacentral:rRNA from 1 species
UCCGUAGGUGGCAAUCGUUGUCCGGAAUUAUUGGGCGUUAAGCGCGCGCAGGCGGUCCUUUAAGUCUGAUGUGAAAGCCCACGGCUCAACCGUGGAGGGUCAUUGGAAACUGGGGGACUUGAGUACAGAAGAGGAAAGUGGAAUUCCACGUGUAGCGGUGAAAUGCGUAGAGAUGUGGAGGAACACCAGUGGCGAAGGCGACUUUCUGGUCUGUAACUGACGCUGAGGCGCGAAAGCGUGGGGAGCAAACAGG